rnacentral:rRNA from 1 species
AGUUUGAUUAUGGCUCAGAUUCAGACGCUGGCGGGAUGCUACCGCAUGCAAGUCGAACGGCAGCCUGGACUUCGGUCUGGUGGCGAGUGGCUUGAACAGGUGAGUAAUGUGCAUCGGAACGUGAUGCCUAGUAGCGGGGAUAACUUCUGCGAAAGCGUAGCUAAUACCACAUACGCCCUUCGAGGAAAGCGGGGGACCUUCGGGCCUCGCACUAUUAGAGCAGCCGAUAUCGGAUUAGCUAGUUGGUGGGGUAACGGCUCGCAAGGCGACAGUCGUAGCUGGUUUGAGGACGACCAGCCGCACUGGGACUGAGACACGGCCCAGACUCCUACGAAGGCAACAGUGAAAUUUUGGACAAUGGGGAAGCCCUGAUCCCAGCCAUCACGUGUGCGAUGAGGCCUUUGGUUUGUAAACGCGCGGCAGGAAAGAAACGGCACGGGAUAAUACCCCGAUACAACUGACGGUACCUGCAGAAUAAGCAUGACUAACUACGUACCAGCAGCUUCAUGUAUGCGGUGCAAGCGUUGUCGGAAUUACUGGGCGUAAAGGCGUGCGCAGGCGGUUCGGAAAAGAAAAGAUAUUGAAAUCCCAGAGCUUAACUUUGAACUGCAUUUUAACUGCGAGCUAGAGUGUGUCAGGAGGAGGUGGAAUUCCGCGUGUAGCAGUGAAAUGCGUAGUAUGCGGAGGAACACCGAUGGCGAGGCAGCCUCCUGGGAUAACACUGACGCUCAUGCACGAAAGCGUGGGAAUAUGGCCAGGAUUAGAUACCUGAUGGCGUCCACGCCUAAACGACAAUCAGCUUCUUUGUUGGGACCGGGCCUUGGUAGCGCAGCUAACGCGUGAAGGAUGACCACUUCUGAGUACGGUCAUAGGAAUUAAAACUCAAGGAAUUGACGGGGACCCGCACAAGCGGUGGAUGAGUGUGGAUUAAUUCGAUGCAGCGCAAGAGCCACUACCGCCAGCAUGUCUGGAAUCCCGAAGAGAUUUGGGGUGCUCGCAGAAGACCGGAACAAGGUGCUGCAUGGCUCAUUAAAUCCGAAAAUAUUCGUCGUGAAGAUGUUGGGUUAAGUCCCACAACGAGCGCAACCCUUGUCAUUAGUUGCUACGAAAGGGGCGCUCGCAAUGAGACUGCCGGUGACAAACCGGAGGAAGGUGGGGAUGACGUCAAGUCUCAUGGCCCUUAUGGGUAGGGCUUCACACGUCAUACAAUGGGUCAGGACAGAAGGUCAUCAACCACGAGAGCCAAUCCCAGAAACCGAUCGUUAGUCCGGAUCGCAGUCUGCAACUCGACUGCGUGAAGUCGAAUCGCUAGUAAUCGCGGAUCAGCAUGUCGCAGUGAAUACGUUCCCGGGUCGCACACCGCCCGUCACCUGUGGGAAUUGGGUUUUACCAGUAGUUAGCUAACCGUAAGGAGGGCGAUUACUACGGUAGGAUUCAUGACUGGGGUGAAGUC